CAGUCGCCGCGGUAAGACAGAGGAUGCAAGCGUUAUCCGGAAUGAUUGGGCGUAAAGCGUCUGUAGGUGGCUUUUCAAGUCCGCCGUCAAAUCCCAGGGCUCAACCCUGGACAGGCGGUGGAAACUACCAAGCUGGAGUACGGUAGGGGCAGAGGGAAUUUCCGGUGGAGCGGUGAAAUGCGUAGAGAUGUGAAAGAACACCAACGGCGAAAGCACUCUGCUGGGCCGACACUGACACUGAGAGACGAAAGCUAGGGGAGCAAAUGGGAUUAGAUACCCGCGUAGUCCCUGUCUCUUAUAA
rnacentral:rRNA from 1 species